rnacentral:rRNA from 1 species
GUAGGAAUCGUGCGCAAUGGGCGAAAGCCUGACGCCGCGACGCCGCGUGAGGGAUGAAGGCCUUCGGGUUGUAAACCUACAUCAAAAAGUCACGGCUAACUUCGUGCCAGCAGCAGCGGUAAUACGAAGGUGGCAAGCGUUGUCCGGUCUUAUUGGGCGUAAAGAGUUCUGUAGGCGGAGUUGUAAGUUAUAUGUUAAAGGCUACGGCCCAACCGUAGUUUUGCGUGUAAUACUGCAAUUCUUGAGUAAUGUAGAGGUUAGUAGAACGUACGGUGUAGUAGUGAAAUGCGUUGAUAUCGUACGGAAUACCAAAGGCGUAGGCAGCUAACUGGACAUUUACUGACGCUGAGAGACGAAAGCUUGGGGAGCAAAACGG